AUGCAGUGAUGACGACAUUUCCUUAAUAACUCCUUGUAUCUUUCCCAUGCUUCACACAAUGGCUCUCCUUCUUGCUGAGCAAAAGAUGUAAUCUCCCCUCUGAUUUU